rnacentral:rRNA from 1 species
AUGCGAUUCAAAGAUGUAGAGAAAGCAAGGGGAUUUUAUAACAAAUACGCCAGGCAUGCUGGUUUUGGAAUCAGGAAGACGGGUGGAAAUGACAACCACAAUUUUGUUUGCGCCCUCCAAGGGAUACACACAUCUUCUGUUUCAGAGGCCAACAGGAAGCGAAACAAAACAUCGCAGAGGACGGGCUGCAAUGCAAGAAUGAGGGUGAAGGUGCAGGAAGAUGGCACAUGCGUGGCAGUGGACAUUGAGUACAAUCAUAAUCACCAGCUCAUGCAAACUGAUGACAUGCUGGUAUUUUUGCACUCACACAAGAAUUAUGACCCCACUAUUCUAGAGUAUGUAAAGCUCCUGCAGUACCAUGAUGUCGAGCACACAAAAAUCAUGUCCAUGCUAUCUGAAAAUGAAGAUGGAAGCUACUUCCUAAGCAUGACCGGACGAGACCUACUAAACCAGAAAGCCAUGUAUGCAAGGAAAGAUGAUUUGGAUGAUGUAUUAAAACUUGUUUCAUUCUUCAAAGACAUGAAGGCAAUAAAUGAUGAGUUUUUCUAUGACAUCCAAUCCAAUGAAGGCUGCCGAGGAGCCUAUCAAGACUUCGGCGAUUGCGUAACAUUUGACACGACUUACAAGACCAACAGAUUUCAUAUGCCCCUAGGAGUGUUUGUUGGAACAAACCAUCACUUGCAGUCAACGAUAUUUGUUGUUGCCCUGAUAUGAGACGAAGAUGCAAAGUCAUUCUAGUGGUUGUUCGAUACAUUUCUACGGUGCAUGAACAACAAGCACCCAACUUGCAUUCUAACAGACCAGUGCCCAUCGAUGGCGGAAGCUAUACCACAAUCAUUUCCAAACACCGUCCACAAGCUAUGCCAUUGGCACAUAUUGAAGAAGUACAGGGAAUACCUCGCGUUGAUGUACAAAAAGUAUAAAACAUUCAAAAAGAAGUUCACAGCUAUAUUGAACUGGCCGCUGAUGCCAACGGAGUUUGAAGAUACCUGGGCUGAACUCGUGCACAAGUACCACCUUGAGAAUGACCAGAUGAUGAUGCAGCUCUAGAGUGAUAGGAAGAUUUGGAUUUCAGCAUAUUACAAGAACAUUUUUUGUGCUAGAAUGACUUCCACACAACGAAGCGAGAGCAUGAACCACGUGCUAAAGAAACGGUUUGUCAAGGGGACCCAGAACCUAUACAAGUUUGCUAGGCGGGUCAAUGCUUGCAUACAAACUCGGAUGCAGAAGGAGAAUGAGCAAACAAUGACCAGCAUGGUAUAA